rnacentral:rRNA from 1 species
GUGGGGAAUUUUGGACAAUGGGCGCAAGCCUGAUCCAGCAAUGCCGCGUGCAGGAAGAAGGCCUUCGGGUUGUAAACUGCUUUUGUACGGAACGAAAAGGCUCUGGUUAAUACCUGGGGCUCAUGACGGUACCGUAAGAAUAAGCACCGGCUAACUACGUGCCAGCAGCCGCGGUAAUACGUAGGGUGCAAGCGUUAAUCGGAAUUACUGGGCGUACAGCGUGCGCAGGCGGUUUUGUAAGACAGAGGUGAAAUCCCCGGGCUCAACCUGGGAAUUGCCUUUGUGACUGCAAGGCUGGAGUGCGGCAGAGGGGGAUGGAAUUCCGCGUGUAGCAGUGAAAUGCGUAGAUAUGCGGAGGAACACCGAUGGCGAAGGCAAUCCCCUGGGCCUGCACUGACGCUCAUGCACGAAAGCGUGGGGAGCAAACAGGAUUAGAUACCCUGGUAGUCC